rnacentral:rRNA from 1 species
UAAUGGCUUACCAAGGCGACGAUCCCUAGCUGGUCUGAGAGGAUGAUCAGCCACACUGGAACUGAGACACGGUCCAGACUCCUACGGGAGGCAGCAGUGGGGAAUAUUGCACAAUGGGCGCAAGCCUGAUGCAGCCAUGCCGCGUGUGUGAAGAAGGCCUUCGGGUUGUAAAGCACUUUCAGUCGUGAGGAAGGUAGUGUAGUUAAUAGCUGCAUUGCUUGACGUUAGCGACAGAAGAAGCACCGGCUAACUCCGUGCCAGCAGCCGCGGUAAUACGGAGGGUGCGAGCGUUAAUCGGAAUUACUGGGCGUAAAGCGCAUGCAGGUGGUUCGUUAAGUCAGAUGUGAAAGCCCGGGGCUCAACCUCGGAACUGCAUUUGAAACUGGCGGACUAGAGUACUGUAGAGGGGGGUAGAAUUUCAGGUGU